rnacentral:rRNA from 1 species
UACGGAGGGUGCGAGCGUUAAUCGGAAUUACUGGGCGUAAAGCGCGCGUAGGCGGUUGGAUAAGUCUGUCGUGAAAGCCCUGGGCUUAACCUGGGAACUGCGGUGGAUACUGUCGGACUGGAGUGUGGUAGAGGGCAGUGGAAUUUCCGGUGUAGCAGUGAAAUGCGUAGAGAUCGGAAGGAACACCAGUGGCGAAGGCGGCUGCCUGGACCAACACUGACGCUGAGGUGCGAAAGCGUGGGGAGCAAACAGG